GAUGAAGAACGCAGCGAAAUGCGAUAAGUAGUGUGAAUUGCAGAAUUCAGUGAAUCAUCGAAUCUUUGAACGCACAUUGCGCCCCUUGGUAUUCCAUGGGGCAUGCCUGUUCGAGCGUCAUUUGUACCUUCAAGCUCUGCUUGGUGUUGGGUGUUUGUCUCACCUCUGCGUGUAGACUCGCCUCAAAACAAUUGGCAGCCGGCGUAUUGAUUUCGGAGCGCAGUACAUCUCGCGCUUUGCACUCAUAACGACGACGUCCAAAAGUACAUUUUUACACUCUUGACCUCGGAUCAGGUAGGGAUACCCGCUGAACUUAAGCAUAUCAAUAAGCGGAGGA
rnacentral:misc_RNA from 1 species